GACAGAGGGGGCAAGCGUUGCUCGGAAUCACUGGGCGUAAAGGGCGCGUAGGCGGGAUGGCAAGUCGGUCGUGAAAUCCUUCGGCUCAACCGAAGAACGUCGGCCGAUACUGCCGUUCUUGAGGGAUGCAGAGGAGAUUGGAAUUCCCGGUGUAGCGGUGAAAUGUGUAGAGAUCGGGAGGAACACCGGUGGCGAAGGCGGUUCUCUGGGCAUUACCUGACGCUGAGGAGCGAAAGCGUGGGGAGCAAACAGG
rnacentral:rRNA from 1 species